rnacentral:rRNA from 1 species
AUGGAUUGUAUUAAUCUGAAUAUUGUUUGUUGGAACGUACGUGGCCUAAAUGCAGGCGCACGACGUUCUACUGUAAGAGAGUCGGUCGUUGCCGCGCAAGCGGAUGUGGUUUGUUUACCAGAAACUAAAAUUGAGAAUUUCUCCCCUUACUUGGUUUGGCAAUUUCUUGGAGCAAAGUUUGAUGAGUACCGCUUCCUGCCCGCUAAUGGGACACGCGGGGGGAUUCUAGUUGUUUGGAACCCCUCGAAAGUAACCGUAGAUUCUGAUUUCAUUGGUGAAUUCUGUCUCGGUUAG